AUUGAACGCUGGCGGCAGGCUUAACACAUGCAAGUCGAGCGAGCGGCGGACGGGUGAGUAAUGUCUGGGAAACUGCCUGAUGGAGGGGGAUAACUACUGGAAACGGUAGCUAAUACCGCAUACCAUCAGAUGUGCCCAGCUGGGAUUAGCUUGUAGGUGUGGUAAUGGCGCCCGUAGGCGACGAUCCCUAGCUGGUCGGAGAGGAUGACCAGCCACACUGGAACUGAGCCACGGUCCAGACUCCUACGGGAGGCAGCAGGGGGGAAUAUGGCACAAGGGGCGCAAGCCUGAUGCAGCCAUGCCGCGUGUGUGAAGAAGGCCUUCGUGUUGUAAAGUACUUUCAGCGAGGAGGCGUUACUCGCAGAAGAAGCACCGGCUAACUCCGUGCCAGCAGCCGCGGUAAUUC
rnacentral:rRNA from 1 species